UACGAAGGUUGCAAGCGUUGUUCGGAAUCACUGGGCUUAAAAGCGCAUGUAGGCGGACAGGAAAGCGUUUUGUGAAAUCCCUCGGCUUAACCGAGGAAUUGCUUGGCGAACUUCCUGUCUUGAGGCAAGUAGGGGUGCAUGGAACUCUUGGUGGAGCGGUGGAAUGCGUAGAUAUCAAGAGGAACGCCAAUGGUGAAAACAGUGCACUGGGCUUGUACUGACGCUGAGAUGCGAAAGCGUGGGGAGCAAACGGG
rnacentral:rRNA from 1 species